UACCGGACAAAAAAAAAAAAACCCAACUUCUAUCAAUUUCUUCCCAAAAGAAGCUUUAACGAGGUUAGGGUUUUCAACCUAUCGCCUCAGGCUCAGGUGACUCCAUGACAAGGUAUUUCUUCCCAAAAGAAGCUUCAACAAGGUUAGGGUUUUCAACCUAUCGCCUUAGGCUCAGGUGACUCCGUGACAAGGUACGUUCACCCUCUCUCUCUCUUCUCUCUCCUUUUGUAUUAAUCGAUCUUUUUGUUUUCCUCUCUCUAAGCGCACUCCAGUCUCACAGCAGCAGCAACCAUGCCCCUUUUCCUCGUAAUUUUUUGCAUUUUCACAUUCAAUCCUACGAAAAUUAAAAAUCCCUUCUAGUGGGUUGAGGACUUGAGUGGAUGGGAGGGUCUAAAUUCUAAAAUGGGUUGGUUGAUUUUAGAAUCCAGAGACAAUAAAGAUGGUCCGAAAGGAGAUCAUGGAAAGGCUGGACAGAUGCUUUGACUGAGAACUUGAGGUUGUUGAUUUGUCCGGUUUUGUAUUCUCAAGCACAUACAGCUACUUCCUUGGAUUUUGUACUAUGGAUUUUGCAGCUACUUCCUUGGAUUUUGUACAGUGCAGUGAUUUUUUGACAAGUGCAGACUGAAACUCAAGUGUUAGAAGGUUUAUCAAUUUUUCAACAGAAGUGUUAGGAAAUUGAUGAUUUUCUUCACAAAUGGAUUUACUUUAUGUUUUGGAACAUUGAUAAAUGUUGAAUUGUUUUGCCACAUUGAUAAAUGAAGAAUUGUAAAAAUGUUUUAACUCUUUUGAUAUAUUUAAUGAGAUAUGUUUUUUAAAUUGA